GAUGAACGCUGGCGGCGUGCCUAAUACAUGCAAGUCGAGCGAACGGACGAGAAGCUUGCUUCUCUGACGUUAGCGGCGGACGGGUGAGUAACACGUGGAUAACCUACCUAUAAGACUGGGAUAACUUCGGGAAACCGGAGCUAAUACCGGAUAAUAUUUUGAACCGCAUGGUUCAAAAGUGAAAGACGGUCUUGCUGUCACUUAUAGAUGGAUCCGCGCUGCAUUAGCUAGUUGGUAAGGUAACGGCUUACCAAGGCAACGAUGCAUAGCCGACCUGAGAGGGUGAUCGGCCACACUGGAACUGAGACACGGUCCAGACUCCUACGGGAGGCAGCAGUAGGGAAUCUUCCGCAAUGGGCGAAAGCCUGACGGAGCAACGCCGCGUGAGUGAUGAAGGUCUUCGGAUCGUAAAACUCUGUUAUUAGGGAAGAACAUAUGCGUAAGUAACUGUGCACAUCUUGACGGUACCUAAUCAGAAAGCCACGGCUAACUACGUG
rnacentral:rRNA from 1 species